rnacentral:misc_RNA from 1 species
GCAAACUUGGUCAUUUAGAGGAAGUAAAAGUCGUAACAAGGUUUCCGUAGGUGAACCUGCGGAAGGAUCAUUAUUGAAUAAACUUAGUUGGGUUGUUGCUGGCUUUUAAAAGCAUGUGCACGCCUAAUCCGUUUUUAACCACCUGUGCACCUUGUGUAGACCUUGAACACAUUCUCGAGACUUGAACUCGGUUUGAGGACUGCUGGUUUCGAAAGAUCAGCUUUUCCUCGGUGAUGAUUGAGGUCUAUGUCUUAUAUUUACACCCCCCAAGUAUUGGAAUGUCAUCUUAUAAGGCCAGUGUGCCUUUAAAACACAAUACAACUUUCAACAACGGAUCUCUUGGCUCUCGCAUCGAUGAAGAACGCAGC